UAAGCCAAGGUCCAACAGGGAG
rnacentral:misc_RNA from 1 species